GGUGGGGUGCUCGAGUGGUUUAAGAGAGCAGUCUUGAAAACUGCCGUUCCGCAAGGAACCGUGAGUUCGAAUCUCACCCCCACCGCCA
rnacentral:tRNA from 1 species